ACCUCCUCACAGGGGUUUUAACAACGGUUUAAAUACCCUCAGCAAACAACCACCACAACACAACACUCAUUCAUGCUCAGUGUCUCCUGCUGUCAUCCUUCAACACUCACUUCUACACAUCGCCGUGACAGUAGCGUCUCCUCCACUUAAGCGGGCGGUGUCAUUAACAUCAUUCGGGGCUGCAGGAGAAGAUGUGACAGAGCGGGUGAAAAGGGAAAUGAUGAAAAAAAGAGUGGUGGAGUGAUGUGUGGGUGUCUUCAGAUAAUCUCUCAGACACUACAAGGUGUCUUGCUGCCAUCUCUGAGAUGGUGGUUGCCAGGCAACAGCAUCCUUUAUAGUCCUUCUUUGGGUGGUAACUAGGUUACCCCAACUUACUGUCGUCAUGUUGGCGUUUUUUUGCUGCAUUUCAGCAGCGUAACAGUUUCCCUCUUCCUGGUGGUUGACAACUUAAACCUGCUGGUUUUAACUAAAGUAUCCCAUCAGGUCCCUUUAGGCUGGUGAGAGGAUGAAGGGUUACACCAGCUCAUCCAGGAGAGUCCCUAUGCUGUGGUGCUGCUCCGGGGGGCCCGCUAUGGGUUUGUUACACAUGGGGCAGACGCAGCGAACCUCCAGCCACUUUACCAGACACCUGGCAGGAUUACAAAGACAAAGAGAUGUAUGAAAAAAGGUCAAACAAGACCUACUGUUGCACAACCAUCCACCUCCAGGAAUGUUGAGGAAAAUUCAACUGAGAGUUUCUGUCUUUCUCUCUAUUUUUCACUCCAACACCACUAAGAGAGAUCCUGUCCUGUCUCCUUUACACAAGGUGGGAUUAAGGGAAGACUCGAUAUGUUGGAGAUGUUGGGUGGCCCCAGGCACCCUGAUUCACAUGCUAUGGUCCUGCCCUAAGGUCCAGAGAUGGUGGACAGCAAUUCAUGAGAAUAUUACUUUGGUCGUGGGGCAAGACAUCCCAUAUUUACCAGGCCUAUACAUAUUGGGCACACACCCUUAAAGGGGAUCCCUGAACCCCACACAAGAUGGAUUCACACAGCCAUCAUGCUGGGUCAUAAGAUCCUGGUUAGGGAAUGGAAAACGGUCGAUAAACCGACUAGACCUAUACAGGGCCAAAUGAGGAGGAUACAUUGAUCUUAUCACAGGACUUUAGAACUUUUUAGGUAUUUUAGGUUGACCAACCCCAACAAAUUCUGAAGGAAAAAAUGUAAACAUCCUGCAGACCAUCUACAUGUAAAAAGCUAGUCUAGUUUUAGUAUGGUGGUGUAGACUUACAGCCCCCCUGUAGUUUGAUGUUUUUACUACAGUCUGUAAAUAGUAGACAACACAUUUUAUGCUGAAGUCGGUGUACCGUUCUUUAAGUUAGGUGUUGUUAUUAUUUUUAUUUAUAUACAUAGUCACUUGUCCAUUUGUAAUUUCUUUACUUUGUUUUUGUCAGAUUGAUUUCUU